rnacentral:snoRNA from 1 species
UGUCUAUGAUGAUAAAUCUAAGGCUUGUUUCUCAAAACAUUCGCAGUGGCCGCCUGAUUGCUUUCGCCUUUGCCGGGCUUGAGAGCACAUGUUGCUUAUCCUUCCUUGGAUGUCUGAGACU